AGGGGUGUAGCUCAGUGGUAGAGCACAUGCUUAGCAUGCACAAGGUCCUGGGUUUUCAAUCCCCAGUACCUCCA
rnacentral:tRNA from 1 species